rnacentral:tRNA from 1 species
GGAUUGUGGGCUCAGUGGCAGAGCGCUUGCCUAGCAUGCAUGAGGCACUUGGUUCAAUCCUCAGCACCA